AAGACCUUGCGCUUUUGGAGCGGCCGAUGCCUGAUUAGCUUGUUGGUYAGGUAAAAGCUUACCAAGGCUUCGAUUCAGUAGCUGGUCUGAGAGGACGGCCAGCCACACUGGGACUGAGACACGGCCCAGACUCCUACGGGAGGCAGCAGUGGGGAAUUUUGGACAAUGGGGGCAACCCUGAUCCAGCCAUGCCGCGUGAGUGAAGAAGGCCUUCGGGUUGUAAAGCUCUUUCAGCCGGAACGAAACGGUUACGGAUAACACCCGUGACUACUGACGGUACCGGAAGAAGAAGCACCGGCUAACUACGUGCCAGCAGCCGCGGUAAUACGUAGGGUGCGAGCGUUAAUCGGAAUUACUGGGCGUAAAGCGUGCGCAGGUGGUUUUGUAAGUCAGAUGUGAAAUCCCCGGGCURAACCUGGGAACU
rnacentral:rRNA from 1 species